rnacentral:rRNA from 1 species
AUUGAACGCUGGCGGCAGGCCUAACACAUGCAAGUCGAACGAGUGGCGGACGGGUGAGUAAUGUCUGGGAAACUGACUGAUGGAGGGGGAUAACUACUGGAAACGGUAGCUAAUACCGCAUACCAUCAGAUGUGCCCAGAUGGGAUUAGCUAGUUGGUGGGGUAAAGGCUCACAAAGGCGACGAUCCCUAGCUGGUCUGAGAGGAUGCCCAGCAACACUGGAACUGAGACACGGUCCAGACGCCUACGGGAGGCAGCAGUGGGGAAUAUUGCACAAGGGGCGCAAGCCUGAUGCAGCCAGGCCGCGUGUAUGAAGAAGGCCUUCGGGUUGUAAAGUACUUUCAGCGGGGAGGCGUUACCCGCAGAAGAAGCACCGGCUAACUCCGUGCCAGCCGCCGCGGUAAUUC